AGAACUGAUUUUUUGACGGACAGAAUGACGGGGGUAACGCUCUUAUAAAUGUCCGCUCUGCAAACUGCGACGUGCGCGUGUUUUAAGUGAUUUUUAGAAUCUGCUUUUUAAAAUGUGCGUUCGAUAGCUCGCCAAAGUCGGCAGACGUUUUCCUAAAGCAAAGCCAUGGAAAGCAAUAUGCCGGGAGUCUUUAA
rnacentral:ncRNA from 1 species